rnacentral:rRNA from 1 species
UGGGGAAUAUUGGACAAUGGGCGCAAGCCUGAUCCAGCAAUGCCGCGUGUGUGAAGAAGGCCUUCGGGUUGUAAAGCACUUUUAUCAGGAGCGAAACGCUGUCGGCUAAUACCCGGCGGAACUGACGGUACCUGAGGAAUAAGCACCGGCUAACUUCGUGCCAGCAGCCGCGGUAAUACGAAGGGUGCAAGCGUUAAUCGGAAUUACUGGGCGUAAAGCGUGCGUAGGCGGUUUCUUAAGUCUGCUGUGAAAUCCCCGGGCUCAACCUGGGAAUGGCAGUGGAUACUGGGAGGCUAGAGUGUGUCAGAGGGUGGUGGAAUUCCCGGUGUAGCGGUGAAAUGCGUAGAGUCGGGAGGAACAUCAGUGGCGAAGGCGGCCACCUGGGACAACACUGACGCUGAGGCACGAAAGCGUGGGGAGCAAACAGGAUUAGAUACCCUGGUAGUCCACGCCCUAAAACGAUGCGAACUGGAUGUUGGUCUCAACUCGGAGAUCAGUGUCGAAGCUAACGCGUUAAGUUCGCCGCCUGGGGAGUACGGUCGUAAGACUGAAACUUAAAUGAAUUGACGGGGUCAUAGCUGUUUCCU